rnacentral:lncRNA from 1 species
GGAGCAGUCCCGGAGGAGUUGUGACCGGCGGUGGUUGAAUAGGAGGGCUUAUGAUUGGUGGAAGAAUUCCGGGAGGUUUUGUGAUCGGCGGUGGCCUUACCGUUGGUGGUGGAUAGACCACCGGAGGAGGCCUUGUGAUUGGAGGAGGCCUUGUGAUUGGCGGUGGCCUCACCAUUGGUGGUGGAUAAACUACCGGAGGAGGUCUAACAAAUGGCGGUGAUCUCCCUCCUCCACCAUGAUGCGGUGGCCCGCCACCACCACCAUGAUGCGGCGGUCCUCCCCCUUUUCCACCGUGGUGUGGCGGUUUACCACCACCUUUUCCACCGUGGUGUGGCGGUUUACCACCACCUUUUCCUCCGUGAUGUGGUGGUGGCUUGCUGCCUCCUCCUCCACCUCCACCUCCACCGCCACCGCCACCGCCUCCACCACCGCCGCCGCCACCACCACCAUGACGUGGAGGCUUCGGAACAGGAGGGUGAGGGUGAGUGCAAGGAGUGCAAGCUUGGAUCGUUGGUGGCAAUGUGAUGACCGUGACGAUCAAGAAAAUGAAGAAGGAAGCUGAAACCCUUAUCGACCUCAUUAUCUUAGGGUUCUUGAAUUUCUCAAGAAUUAAACUUUCAUU